UGGUAUCUGAAUUAUGAUAUAUAUAUAUAUAUAUAUAAGGAUUUGUUAACACAUGUACACCUGUUUUUCAGUUGGUACGUUUUAACCAUGUGUACCAGAUUAUAGUAGACAAAAAUACCCUCAUUUAUCAUAGAUUCUAAGUUUUAAGGUCAAGGAUAUUUAAAUAAUUUUCAUUCUCAAAACUAAAAAAAAAAAAGAAACUCCCAAACCCUUACUCACCCCAAUCAUUCCUCUCAACCCUUUCUCUUUCAUNN
rnacentral:lncRNA from 1 species